rnacentral:tRNA from 1 species
UAUAUUUGAGUAUAGGAAGUACAUAAAUUUUUGAUAUUUAAGGAGGUGGUUUGAUCCCACUAAAUAUAG